rnacentral:rRNA from 1 species
CCUACGGGUGGCAGCAGUGAGGAAUAUUGGUCAAUGGCCGGAAGGCUGAACCAGCCAUGCCGCGUGAAGGUCAGUGCCCUAUGGGCGUUAAACUUCUUUUGUGCGGGAGCAAUAAUGGUCACGUGUGGCCAGACGAGAGUACCGUACGAAUAAGCAUCGGCUAACUCCGUGCCAGCAGAGGCGGUAAUACGGGGGAUGCAAGCGUUAUCCGGAGUUAUUGGGUUUAAAGGGUGCGUAGGCUGGGAGGUAAGUCAGCGGGGAAAUGCCCCCGCGCAACGGGGUGAAGUGCCAUUGAUACUGCCGUGCUUGAAUGCGGAUGCCGUGGGAGGAAUGUGUGGUGUAGCGGUGAAAUGCAUAGAUAUCACACAGAACACCGAUUGCGAAGGCAUCUCACGAAUCCGCGAUUGACGCUGAUGCACGAAAGCGUGGGUAUCAAACAGGAUUAGAUACCCUUGUAGUC